GUCAGCACUUACUGAGUACCUACCGCAUGUAAAUGAUGGCUGUUGACACAAUGUGGUGACUGAUGAUAUUGACUUGGCUCCCAACUUCUGCAGCGGAAUCAGAAACUUGGGCACUGCCCUAACAAGACUGGCUUUUGCUCUCAAUCAGCUGGCACUGCUAGUUGGGGCUCCUGGAGACAUUUCGACCUGCCAACCAUGAUCCAGCCCCAGGCUUCUGUUCUUCCAGUCACCGUCUCACUUCUUUCAGGUGCCUGCUCUAAUGUCACCUCAGUCGGAAGGCUUUCCCGGCCACAGUAGGUAACUGAAUCAUGCAAUCUCAUGGGACAGAACACCUGGAGAGGGAGAAGCUGCCACAAGAGCACGGAGCCUGGGCUUCUUCUGAUCACCUCACACUAUCUAGCUUGGCCGCCUUGUCAGACAUCGUGCGACGCUCUCUCCAAACCGCCCAGAGACGGGCCAAAGGCAAGUAUCUGGCUGUGGGGCAGAUUUUCUUCUCAGCAGAGGAUAAUAAGCCAGAUCAAGCAGAGGAUACGGGAACAAAGCACGGGGCUGCCGUUCCCCUUCUGGCACAUGGAAGAAUCAGGCUGUGCG